AUUGAACGCUGGCGGCAGGCCUAACACAUGCAAGUCGAGCGGAUGAGUGGAGCUUGCUCCAUGAUUCAGCGGCGGACGGGUGAGUAAUGCCUAGGAAUCUGCCUGGUAGUGGGGGACAACGUUUCGAAAGGAACGCUAAUACCGCAUACGUCCUACGGGAGAAAGUGGGGGAUCUUCGGACCUCACGCUAUCAGAUGAGCCUAGGUCGGAUUAGCUAGUUGGUGAGGUAAAGGCUCACCAAGGCGACGAUCCGUAACUGGUCUGAGAGGAUGAUCAGUCACACUGGAACUGAGACACGGUCCAGACUCCUACGGGAGGCAGCAGUGGGGAAUAUUGGACAAUGGGCGAAAGCCUGAUCCAGCCAUGCCGCGUGUGUGAAGAAGGUCUUCGGAUUGUAAAGCACUUUAAGUUGGGAGGAAGGGCAGUAAGUUAAUACCUUGCUGUUUUGACGUUACCAACAGAAUAUGCACCGGCUAACUUCGUGCCAGCCGCCGCGGUAAAAC
rnacentral:rRNA from 1 species